AGUUUGUGUGUGAGUUUGUUUAACUGGGGGGAAAAGGCAUGAGAGACUGGUACACAAAUAAAUCCUAUUUUGCAAACCAGAGCUCAUUGGUCAGUAUGAGUUUUCAUACAUGCAGGAAGCAAUAUG
ensembl:snoRNA